rnacentral:rRNA from 2 species
CCCAAAAGAUCGAAUGGGGAGAUUCAUCGUCAGCUCAUUUUGUAUAUAUAUAAGUUAUGAUGCGGGUUACUACUUGUAGUAUUGCCUGCACAUUCUUGUAUAUUUAGUUGCAAGAUGUUGUCGGCGUGCACUUCUCCUCUAGUAGGACGUCGCGACCCGUUGGGUGUCGGUUUACGGCCCAAGUGAUAGCCUUUAAUGUAAUUAAAAAAACAUUGAAGAUCCUUGGUGUUUUCUAACCGGCUACUCGGCGGUAUUCGUACGGUAUUUAGCCGCUAAUUUUAUUAGCGUUCAUGUCCGUCACAAGCGAGGCCAAUUUUUACUGAUAGUACGGACCUAGUGCCGUCGUUGGUAUUGGCCAGCUGUUGGUUGUAUGGUAUUCUAGAACUGGCUAAAAUUAAUUACCGGUCGGCGAUGCUACUGCUUUGGGUACUUUCAGG